rnacentral:misc_RNA from 1 species
GUGAGUCAUCGAAUCUUUGAACGCACAUUGCGCCCGCCAGUAUUCUGGCGGGCAUGCCUGUUCGAGCGUCAUUUCAACCAUCAAGCCCCCGGCUUGUGUUGGGGACCUGCGGCUGCCGCAGGCCCUGAAAACCAGUGGCGGGCUCGCUAGUCACUCCGAGCGUAGUAAUACAUCUCGCUCAGGGCGUGCUGCGGGUUCCGGCCGUUAAAAAGCCUUAUUUACCCAAGGUUGACCUCGGAUCAGGUAGGAAGACCCGCUGAACUUAAGCAUAUCAAUAAGCGGAGGA